UGGGCACAGCUUAGUUGCUGUGAUUUUCCAACCACAGGUUUGCGGGAGCUGAACGGAAAUAGCACUGCCAUCCAUAUGGCUCGCAGAAAGCAGCGUCCGCGUACAAUGACACGUCGAAGAAAGUUAAUUGCAUUCAAAAGAACAAAAGUGAGCGGCAACCAUUAUUAUUACCACUACAGAAGGCUGGGAUAGCUGAGAAUCACCCGCUGCAGCAUCUCAAGACACCCUCAUCUCGCCCCAGUAAUAGUCUGUAAGUCAUCUGGUUACAAUCUCUGAUCAGCCAGACGGUUAGGAUGGAAACGGAGCUACAUACAUAUGUCAUCUUCGGGACAAAGGCAGAAGGAGAUUUGCAAAACCAUCAAUAAAAAUUGCAGGUUGA